rnacentral:rRNA from 1 species
UAAUACGUAGGUGGCAAGCGUUGUCCGGAUUUACUGGGCGUAAAGGGAGCGUAGGUGGAUAUUUAAGUGGGAUGUGAAAUACUCGGGCUUAACCUGGGUGCUGCAUUCCAAACUGGAUAUCUAGAGUGCAGGAGAGGAAAGUAGAAUUCCUAGUGUAGCGGUGAAAUGCGUAGAGAUUAGGAAGAAUACCAGUGGCGAAGGCGACUUUCUGGACUGUAACUGACACUGAGGCUCGAAAGCGUGGGGAGCAAACAGG